rnacentral:rRNA from 1 species
GGGUUGUGAGGUUAAGCGACUAAGCGUACACGGUGGAUGCCCUGGCAGUCAGAGGCGAUGAAGGACGUGCUAAUCUGCGAAAAGCGUCGGUAAGGUGAUAUGAACCGUUAUAACCGGCGAUGUCCGAAUGGGGAAACCCAGUGCAAUUCGUUGCACUAUCGUUAACUGAAUACAUAGGUUAACGAGGCGAACCGGGGGAACUGAAACAUCUAAGUACCCCGAGGAAAAGAAAUCAACCGAGAUUCCCCCAGUAGCGGCGAGCGAACGGGGAGCAGCCCAGAGUCUGAAUCAGCUUGUGUGUUAGUGGAACGGUCUGGAAAGUCCGACGGUACAGGGUGAUAGUCCCGUACACCAAAAUGCACAGGUUGUGAACUCGAAGAGUAGGGCGGGACACGUGGUAUCCUGUCUGAAUAUGGGGGGACCAUCCUCCAAGGCUAAAUACUCCUGACUGACCGAUAGUGAACCAGUACCGUGAGGGAAAGGCGAAAAGAACCCCGGCGAGGGGAGUGAAAAAGAACCUGAAACCGUGUACGUACAAGCAGUGGGAGCACCUUCGGGUGUGACUGCGUACCUUUUGUAUAAUGGGUCAGCGACUUAUAUUCUGUAGCAAGGUUAACCGUAUAGGGGAGCCGCAGGGAAACCGAGUCUUAACUGGGCGUUAAGUUGCAGGGUAUAGACCCGAAACCCGGUGAUCUAGCCAUGGGCAGGUUGAAGGUUGGGUAACACUAACUGGAGGACCGAACCGACUAAUGUUGAAAAAUUAGCGGAUGACUUGUGGCUGGGGGUGAAAGGCCAAUCAAACCGGGAGAUAGCUGGUUCUCCCCGAAAGCUAUUUAGGUAGCGCCUCGUGAACUCAUCUUCGGGGGUAGAGCACUGUUUCGGCUAGGGGGUCAUCCCGACUUACCAACCCGAUGCAAACUACGAAUACCGAAGAAUGUUAUCACGGGAGACACACGGCGGGUGCUAACGUCCGUCGUGAAGAGGGAAACAACCCAGACCGCCAGCUAAGGUCCCAAAGUCAUGGUUAAGUGGGAAACGAUGUGGGAAGGCACAGACAGCCAGGAUGUUGGCUUAGAAGCAGCCAUCAUUUAAAGAAAGCGUAAUAGCUCACUGGUCGAGUCGGCCUGCGCGGAAGAUGUAACGGGGCUAAACCAUGCACCGAAGCUGCGGCAGCGACACUAUGUGUUGUUGGGUAGGGGAGCGUUCUGUAAGCCUGCGAAGGUGUGCUGUGAGGCAUGCUGGAGGUAUCAGAAGUGCGAAUGCUGACAUAAGUAACGAUAAAGCGGGUGAAAAGCCCGCUCGCCGGAAGACCAAGGGUUCCUGUCCAACGUUAAUCGGGGCAGGGUGAGUCGACCCCUAAGGCGAGGCCGAAAGGCGUAGUCGAUGGGAAACAGGUUAAUAUUCCUGUACUUGGUGUUACUGCGAAGGGGGGACGGAGAAGGCUAUGUUAGCCGGGCGACGGUUGUCCCGGUUUAAGCAUGUAGGCUGAUUGUCCAGGCAAAUCCGGAUAAUCAAGGCUGAGGUGUGAUGACGAGGCACUACGGUGCUGAAGUAACAAAUGCCCUGCUUCCAGGAAAAGCCUCUAAGCAUCAGGUAACAUUAAAUCGUACCCCAAACCGACACAGGUGGUCAGGUAGAGAAUACCAAGGCGCUUGAGAGAACUCGGGUGAAGGAACUAGGCAAAAUGGUGCCGUAACUUCGGGAGAAGGCACGCUGGUGUGUAGGUGAAGUCCCUGCGGAUGGAGCUGAGACCAGUCGAAGAUACCAGCUGGCUGCAACUGUUUAUUAAAAACACAGCACUGUGCAAACACGAAAGUGGACGUAUACGGUGUGACGCCUGCCCGGUGCCGGAAGGUUAAUUGAUGGGGUUAUCCGUAAGGAGAAGCUCUUGAUCGAAGCCCCGGUAAACGGCGGCCGUAACUAUAACGGUCCUAAGGUAGCGAAAUUCCUUGUCGGGUAAGUUCCGACCUGCACGAAUGGCGUAAUGAUGGCCAGGCUGUCUCCACCCGAGACUCAGUGAAAUUGAACUCGCUGUGAAGAUGCAGUGUACCCGCGGCAAGACGGAAAGACCCCGUGAACCUUUACUAUAGCUUGACACUGAACAUUGAGCCUUGAUGUGUAGGAUAGGUGGGAGGCUUUGAAGCGUGGACGCCAGUCUGCGUGGAGCCAACCUUGAAAUACCACCCUUUAAUGUUUGAUGUUCUAACGUUGGCCCCUGACCGGGGUUGCGGACAGUGUCUGGUGGGUAGUUUGACUGGGGCGGUCUCCUCCCAAAGCGUAACGGAGGAGCACGAAGGUUAGCUAAUCCUGGUCGGACAUCAGGAGGUUAGUGCAAUGGCAUAAGCUAGCUUGACUGCGAGCGUGACGGCGCGAGCAGGUGCGAAAGCAGGUCAUAGUGAUCCGGUGGUUCUGAAUGGAAGGGCCAUCGCUCAACGGAUAAAAGGUACUCCGGGGAUAACAGGCUGAUACCGCCCAAGAGUUCAUAUCGACGGCGGUGUUUGGCACCUCGAUGUCGGCUCAUCACAUCCUGGGGCUGAAGUAGGUCCCAAGGGUAUGGCUGUUCGCCAUUUAAAGUGGUACGCGAGCUGGGUUUAGAACGUCGUGAGACAGUUCGGUCCCUAUCUGCCGUGGGCGCUGGAGAAUUGAGGGGGGCUGCUCCUAGUACGAGAGGACCGGAGUGGACGCAUCACUGGUGUUCGGGUUGUCAUGCCAAUGGCACUGCCCGGUAGCUAAAUGCGGAAGAGAUAAGUGCUGAAAGCAUCUAAGCACGAAACUUGCCCCGAGAUGAGUUCUCCCUGAGACUUUAAGUCUCCUGAAGGAACGUUAAAGACGAUGACGUUGAUAGGCCGGGUGUGUAAGCGCAGCGAUGCGUUGAGCUAACCGGUACUAAUGAACCGUGAGGCUUAACCUUACAACGCCGAAG